CCUACGGGAGGCAGCAGUGGGGAAUUUUCCGCAAUGGGCGAAAGCCUGACGGAGCAACGCCGCGUGAGGGAUGAAGGCCUCUGGGCUGUAAACCUCUUUUAUCAAGGAAGAAGAUCUGACGGUACUUGAUGAAUAAGCCACGGCUAAUUCCGUGCCAGCAGCCGCGGUAAUACGGGAGUGGCAAGCGUUAUCCGGAAUUAUUGGGCGUAAAGCGUCCGCAGGCGGUCUUGUAAGUCUGUCGUUAAAGCGUGGAGCUUAACUCCAUUUCGGCGGUGGAAACUACAAGACUAGAGUGUGGUAGGGGCAGAGGGAAUUCCCGGUGUAGCGGUGAAAUGCGUAGAUAUCGGGAAGAACACCAGUGGCGAAGGCGCUCUGCUGGGCCAUAACUGACGCUCAUGGACGAAAGCUAGGGGAGCGAAAGGGAUUAGAUACCCCUGUAGUCCUAGCCGUAAACGAUGAACACUAGGUGUCGGGGGAAUCGACCCCCUCGGUGUCGUAGCUAACGCGUUAAGUGUUCCGCCUGGGGAGUACGCACGCAAGUGUGAAACUCAAAUGAAUUGACGG
rnacentral:rRNA from 1 species